UACGUAGGGCGCAAGCGUUGUCCGGAAUCAUUGGGCGUAAAGAGCUCGUAGGCGGCUCGGUAAGUCGGGUGUGAAACCCCCCAGGCUCAACCUGGGGGACGCCACCCGAUACUGCUGUGGCUAGAGUCCAGUAGGGGAGUGUGGAAUUCCCGGUGUAGCGGUGAAAUGCGCAGAUAUCAGGAGGAACACCAGUGGCGAAGGCGCCGCUCUGGGGCCGAGACUGACGUGAGGAGCGAAAAGCGUGGGGUAGCAAAACAGG
rnacentral:rRNA from 1 species